rnacentral:misc_RNA from 1 species
AACAAGGCGUACCUGCGGACCUGCGGAGGGAUCAUUACUGAGUGAGGGCCUUCGGGCUCGACCUCCAACCCUUUGUGAACACAACUUGUUGCUUCGGGGGCGACCCUGCCGUUUCGACGGCGAGCGCCCCCGGAGGCCUUCAAACACUGCAUCUUUGCGUCGGAGUUUAAGUAAAUUAAACAAAACUUUUAACAACGGAUCU